rnacentral:rRNA from 1 species
GAUGAACGCUGGCGGCGUGCCUAAUACAUGCAAGUCGAGCGAACGGACGAGAAGCUUGCUUCUCUGAUGUUAGCGGCGGACGGGUGAGUAACACGUGGAUAACCUACCUAUAAGACUGGGAUAACUUCGGGAAACCGGAGCUAAUACCGGAUAAUAUUUUGAACCGCAUGGUUCAAAAGUGAAAGACGGUCUUGCUGUCACUUAUAGAUGGAUCCGCGCUGCAUUAGCUAGUUGGUAAGGUAACGGCUUACCAAGGCAACGAUGCAUAGCCGACCUGAGAGGGUGAUCGGCAACACUGGAACUGAGACACGGUCCCGACUCCUACGGGAGGCAGCAGUAGGGAAUCUUCCGAAAUGGGCGAAAGCCUGACGGAGCAACGACGCGUGAGUGAUGAAGGUCAUCGGAUCGUAAAACUCUGUUAUUAGGGAAGAACAUAUGUGUAAGUAACUGUGCACAUCUUGACGGUACCUAAUCAGAAAGCCACGGCUAACUACGUG